rnacentral:rRNA from 1 species
CAGCAGCCGCGGUAAGACAGAGGAUGCAAGCGUUAUCCGGAAUGAUUGGGCGUAAAGCGUGCGUAGGCGGCUUCUUAAGUCGGAUGUGAAAUCCCUGAGCUUAACUUAGGAAUUGCAUUCGAUACUGGGAAGCUAGAGUAUGGGAGAGGAUGGUAGAAUUCCAGGUGUAGCGGUGAAAUGCGUAGAGAUCUGGAGGAAUACCGAUGGCGAAUGCAGCCAUCUGGCCUAAUACUGACGCUGAGGUACGAAAGCAUGGGGAGCAAACAGGAUUAGAUACCCCCGUAGUCCCUGUCUCUUAUAA